CCAAGUUGAUGCUGCCAGUAGCAUAUACUUGUCUCUAAGAUUGAGUCAUGCACAUGUAAGUACACACUGCCGAUACAGUGACUCUGCGAAUGGCUCUUUGAAUUAGUUAUGGUUUGUUUGAUUGCUCCAUCUGUUACUUGGAUAACUGUGGUCAUUCUUCAGUGAAUACAUGCCGACAAACACUGACCUCCCGGGAUGCGUGCAUUUAUCUUACCAAGACCAGUCCUGGCUUGCCCUGCCACUUUAGUGACUCUAGCUAAGCUUGGGCAUAUUGCAUGUCCCAGUUAUGGCGAUGAUCCAUUCUGAUGUCUGCCAUAUCAACUAUUUUCUGUGCCUACCAUGGUGACCACAGGUAAUAAGGAAUCAGGCUUUGCUUCCAGAGAGGGAGCCAGAGAAACUGCCUCAUCCAAAGAAAGGCAGCAGAUGCAAAAAUUAACCUUUCCCGACUCAGGGAGAUAACGACAGAAAAUAACUAUAUAGGGCUCUUUCGAGGCGUGUAAUUUGAAUGAGUGCACUUUAAAUCCAUUAAUGAGCAUUCAUUGGAAGGCAAGUCUGGUGACAGCAGCCACAGAAAUACAAGUGCAAAUAGCGUAUAUUAAAGUUGCUGCAGUUCAUAAGCUCGUAGUUGAAUCUUGGGAUAGAGCUGAAGUUCUGGCGCAAGGGUGUCUGUGUCAGCCCCUGCCUCUUGGCACCCCGUUAAUGCUCUUGAAUUUAUGUCCCUAGGGUAGAAGCGUUAACUUUGGAAACAUUAGAGUGUUCGAAGCAGGCCGGUCACCUGAAUACUUAACUAGAAAUUAUGGAGUAGGACUCCAGUUCUAUCUUGUUUGUUAUCAGAACUGGGGCCAUGAUUAAGAGGGAUGCCUGGGGGUAUUCGGCUUGUGCAACUGGAGAUAAAAAGUCUCAGUCCGUCAUACUUCUGACCAUAGACAAUGCCAAUAAGUAUUCCGUUGGUGUUAUUCUCAUGACGCGACAAACAUUUUCCGGGAAUCCAAAGUCUUUGGGUUCCGAAGGGAAUAUGGUUGCAAAGCUGAAACUUAAAGGAAUUGACAGAAGGGCACCACCAGGAGUGGAGUCUGUGGCUUAAAUUGACUCAAUACAGGAACACUCACCCAGCACGGACACAGAUGGGAUUGACAGAAUUAUGGCUCUUUUGCUAUUCUGCCGGUGGUGGUGCAUGGCCGUUCUCAGUUGGUGGAACGAUUUAUCUGGUUCUGAUGAUGAAUGACACCCUUCCAUGUUGACUAGUAACGUGACCCCCAGCAGUCAGAUUUCAACUUCUUUGAGGAUCAAGUGGCAUUCUGCCCCUCAAGACCAAGCAAUAACAGGUCUUUGAUGCCUUUAGAUGUCUGGGACUAAACGUGCACUACACUGAACAGAUCACUAUGUCUACCCUUCAAUGACAGAUGUGGCUAACCCACUAAACCAUGUUCGUGAUAUGGAUUGUGCAAUAACUUCCCAAGAACGAGUAAUUCCCAGUAAGUGUGGUUCAAAUGCUCCCGUUGAUUAAAUACCUGCACUCUGUACACACCACUACCGAUUAGAUGUUUCUGUCUGGUCCUCGGAUUUGACACACCGGGGUCGGCAACAGCCCAGGAAGAUCACUGAGAAGACAAUCAAACUUGACUAUCUAGAGGGACAAAAAAUUGUACCAAUGUUUCCGUAGGUUUAACCUGCAGAAG
rnacentral:rRNA from 1 species